AUGCUUGAUUUAGAGACAUACAUAUUAAAAUUGGAACAAUAAAGAGAAUAGCAUGCUCUCUGCACAAGAUUGACAUGUAUGCAUGGUUUAGGACUGCCUAUUCUC